rnacentral:rRNA from 1 species
AACGAACGCUGGCGGCAUGCCUAACACAUGCAAGUCGAACGAGACCUUCGGGUCUAGUGGCGCACGGGUGCGUAACGCGUGGGAAUCUGCCCUUGGGUUCGGAAUAACAGUUAGAAAUGACUGCUAAUACCGGAUAAUGUCUUCGGACCAAAGAUUUAUCGCCCAGGGAUGAGCCCCGCGUAGGAUUAGCUAGUUGGUGAGGUAAAGGCUCACCAAGGCGACGAUCCUUAGCUGGUCUGAGAGGAUGAUCAGCCACACUGGGACUGAGACACGGCCCAGACUCCUACGGGAGGCAGCAGUGGGGAAUAUUGGACAAUGGGCGAAAGCCUGAUCCAGCAAUGCCGCGUGAGUGAUGAAGGCCUUAGGGUUGUAAAGCUCUUUUACCCGGGAUGAUAAUGACAGUACCGGGAGAAUAAGCCCCCGGCUAACUCCGUGCCAGCAGCCGCGGUAAU